UUUCGGUCAAGGGCACAUGCCUAGGUUGCAGGCUCGAUCUCCAGCCCUGGUCAGGGCUUCUGCAGGCAGUAACCAAUCAUUGUGUUGCUCUCACAACGAUGUUCCUCUCUGUCUUUCCCUCUCUCUUCCACUAUUCCUAAAAAUCAAUGG